rnacentral:misc_RNA from 1 species
GCUCCAGUACACCCGGUCUGUGUUGAGAGGCAAAGCAGCCACUCCUAUCCCCUGCCAAUGCCGAGCCACCUCCGACGCUGAUGGGGUCAAGCACCUACGACGUGGCGAAGUCAGUGCGAUGCAUUGCUACUGAUGCCGGCAGUCAGAUCCUGGAUGGCACUGCGUCGGAGCGACCUGCGGCAGCGAACACGCUUGUACGAAUCCACACCAUGAGCAGGGUGUCGACGCGACUCGAACGCAUCUCACCCGGCCCACACACAGCCUACUGGUGGGGAGCCUGAGUGCCACCGCGAGGGAGCUGCAGCACGUGGCGGCCGGCAUACUGUGAGCGGCUGCGAGGCGACCUGCGCAGCGGGUGGGUAACGUUCGAGCCAGGGGCCGUGCUCAGGUGGCUGAGUCGGCAUUGCUGUACCACGUGUCUACAGCUGCGCUGCACCACGCGAUGGGGCCAGUGACAGUCCGUAUCGCGCACGGCUCGACUCAUUGUUGAAUGACAGAAUGGACUCUUUGAAAGAAAAACACAACUGUGAUCCCUUCCUUGUCUGCCAUGUUUCAUGCUGCCUUCGCGCGAACGUAUGCUUUCAG